AAAAAUGCUAUAUAAUAAUUGAUUGUAAAUAGAUAGGGUGAGAUAAAAAAAAAUAUAAAACUCUUUACUUGCUCUUUGAGCGUGUGAAACAUACUUUCUAAUAAAAUGGUGACGUGUGACAUGUGCGGACCCAAACAAAUUUUAUUCAACAUGUUGAAUAGAUUCAACACCCUAAAAUCCACGUAGGUUUUUUUCAUUUUUUAACACCCACAUUACAUUGAUUAAACAGUUGAAUAAUUUAUUCAACACCUCCAUUACAAGUAGUCUAACAACGAAUGAUUAUUACUAUAUUUAUAUUUUACUAUAUACCUUAAGACCUUAACAAUACUCUUUUUUCUCUAAUAUUUUUCUUUUCUUACAUAGUAAUUUAGAUUAAUACCCUAUAAUCUAACUAUGCGGAGAUGGACAUCCACAUGUCACUUCCUUCUUUCUUCUGCUCUUAUUCUUAUUUCUCCUCCUUCUUCUUUUUUUCUCCGAGACUUUAUUGCUUAUUUUUUUCUUCAAAAUAGAUUUAAAAGUAAAUUAUAUAUUAGUGACAACAAUAAAAAUAUUAAAAAUAAUAAUAUUGAUGAAUGGACGUCUAGACCUACCUUUUAACUCCUUGAUCUCUUCAACCGCUCCUUGUAUUACAAUGGCUUGCCUACAUCUUUCCAUACCUCUUUGACCGUCUCCUUCUUUGGUAGACGAGACCUAAUAAACUUGUAAGUUGAUUUGAUCAUGAUCUUAAUUCUUUCUUUCUUACCUGAUUGUGUUUUUGAAUGUGUAAACUUAGUGAUUUUAGCACCUCGUUUAUAACUUAAUUUUUGGCUCCUUACGGCAAACUUCAAAUCAAAGUUCUAUGCAUUCUAUUUUUUUGCAUUGUUUAACCACGUCAACACGUUUUUCAAUUAAAAAGAAUUACAGCGUAAGUUCUUUAUUAAAAUUAAAUAAAAAUAAUUACAGCUUAAGUUCUCACUUUACCAAUUCCCUACUUACUUUACUUUAUUCAGUUUCAUUAACUUAAUAUAUAUAAUUUUAGACGUAUUUUCCAAGAAAUAUAUCAGAUAUUAGCAAAAGAAAAAUCAACAGAAAAAAGUAAAAA
rnacentral:sRNA from 1 species